AGCGAACGCUGGCGGCAGGCUUAACACAUGCAAGUCGAACGGGCACUUCGGUGCUAGUGGCAGACGGGUGAGUAACACGUGGGAACGUACCCUUUGGUUCGGGACAACUCUGGGAAACUGGAGCUAAUACCGGAUACGCCCUUUUGGGGAAAGGUUUACUGCCGAAGGAUCGGCCCGCGUCUGAUUAGCUAGUUGGUGGGGUAACGGCCUACCAAGGCGACGAUCAGUAGCUGGUCCGAGAGGAUGAUCAGCCACACUGGGACUGAGACACGGCCCAGACUCCUACGGGAGGCAGCAGUGGGGAAUAUUGGACAAUGGGCGCAAGCCUGAUCCAGCCAUGCCGCGUGAGUGAUGAAGGCCUUAGGGUUGUAAAGCUCUUUUAUCCGGGACGAUAAUGACGGUACCGGAGGAAUAAGCCCCGGCUAACUUCGUGCCAGCCGCCGCCGUAA
rnacentral:rRNA from 1 species